rnacentral:rRNA from 1 species
UGGGGAAUAUUGGACAAUGGGCGCAAGCCUGAUCCAGCCAUGCCGCGUGUGUGAAGAAGGCCUUUUGGUUGUAAAGCACUUUAAGCGAGGAGGAGGCUACUUGGAUUAAUACUCUAAGAUAGUGGACGUUACUCGCAGAAUAAGCACCGGCUAACUCUGUGCCAGCAGCCGCGGUAAUACAGAGGGUGCGAGCGUUAAUCGGAUUUACUGGGCGUAAAGCGUGCGUAGGCGGCUUCUUAAGUCGGAUGUGAAAUCCCUGGGCUUAACUUAGGAAUUGCAUUCGAUACUGGGAAGCUAGAGUAUGGGAGAGGAUGGUAGAAUUCCAGGUGUAGCGGUGAAAUGCGUAGAGAUCUGGAGGAAUACCGAUGGCGAAGGCAGCCAUCUGGCCUAAUACUGACGCUGAGGUACGAAAGCAUGGGGAGCAAACAGG